rnacentral:rRNA from 1 species
AUGUUGGUUAAGUCCCGCAACGAGCGCAACCCUUGCCAUCAGUUGCUACAAAGGGCACUCUGAUGGGACUGCCGGUGACAAACCGGAGGAAGGUGGGGAUGACGUCAAGUCCUCAUGGCCCUUAUAGGUGGGGCUACACACGUCAUACAAUGGCCGGUACAAAGGGCAGCCAACCCGCGAGGGGGAGCCAAUCCCAUAAAGCCGGUCGUAGUCCGGAUCGCAGUCUGCAACUCGACUGCGUGAAGUCGGAAUCGCUAGUAAUCGUGGAUCAGCAUGUCACGGUGAAUACGUUCCCGGGUCUU